UACAGAGGUCUCAAGCGUUGUUCGGAUUCAUUGGGCGUAAAGGGUGCGUAGGCGGCGCGGUAAGUCGGGUGUGAAAUCUUGGAGCUUAACUCCGAAACUGCAUUCGAUACUGCCGUGCUUGAGGACUGGAGAGGAGACUGGAAUUUACGGUGUAGCGGUGAAAUGCGCAGAUAUCAGGAGGAACACCAGCGGCGAAGGCGGCGCUCUGGGGCCGGUACUGACACUGAGGAGCGAAAGCGUGGGUAGCAAACAGG
rnacentral:rRNA from 1 species